UUCGGAUUGCAGUCUGCAACUCGACUGCAUGAAGCUGGAAUCGCUAGUAAUCGCAGAUCAGAAUGCUGCGGUGAAUACGUUCCCGGGUCUUGUACACACCGCCCGUCACACCAUGGGAGUCGGAAAUGCCCGAAGCCGGUGACCAAACCAAUAAGGAAGGAGCCGUCGAAGGCAGGUCUGAUAACUGGGGUGAAGUCGUAACAAGGUACC
rnacentral:rRNA from 1 species